ensembl:lncRNA
GUGCACAUUUGUUUUCAUGUGACAGCCUUAGAAUGGAUAAUAAUUAAAUGUAAUUGUCAGUACAUUUUUCACUUUCAGAACUUUCAGGUGGAUGAUCAAAGUUGUUUUCGAUUGAACAAACUCAUGUUAUUGUGGACCUUGUACUUCAGAACAAUACCAAAGAUAUUCAACAAAAAUAAUACAGAAGUGCAAUGCAGUUAGGCAACAUUUGAUUACGUUUUAGGAGAAAUGCCAUCCAGAUGAAGCAGGUCUAUAAAGUACACUUCAAGGAACUCUAACAGGGUGAAAGUGUAAAGAGACCAGUUUGUUAGAAUAUAAGCCACACAAUUGCUCUAUGAUAUAAACUACUGUUUUUCUUUAAUAUAUAUAUAUAUAUAUAUAUACACACACACACACACACACUUCUGGAGUUGGAUGGCAGUGGGAAAUAAUAUAAAUAAAUCUAUAUAAAUGAAGCUGUCUCCAGUCUGAACAAAAGAAAUAGAAGUGGUUGUAAUGUGAUUUGGCAGCUUGAUACAUCAGUGUCCCCAUUUGUGCUGCAGUUGUGUUUGUGGCACACAGUGCUGUCUUGGGGCCAUAACACAGAAAUGCUCACACAUUUUAAACUCUCUCAAUGAAACCGUAUUUCCACAGAGGAGAUUGAGGAAAUUUGCAUCAAUGGUUUGAGCAUCACCCAGUUUUUGAGAUCAUUUCCCUUCUGCUAUAUUCUCCUUUCCUGAAUCCAGCUGAGGAGUUCAUGUCCUACUGGAGAUGGAAUAUAUAGGGAUGAAUGUGAAUUCAGUAGAGAACAUGCCUAUAGUUUUGUUAUUAGUAUUUACUUUUAAUAAAUUAAUUAUUAGCUGAAACAAAUGUGACCUUUUCUGUAAAAACGAGGCUAAAGUCUCAAAGUCUAAUUAUGAUAUAACAAACAUCAAAGUUUGAUUUCAACCAUUCAUUUCACUAUGAUUUCAAUCUUUGACAUGAUCUCAGUCAGUAAUAAAAAAUAUCAAUGUUACAUUUUCACAGAAUGUC